rnacentral:lncRNA from 1 species
GGGGAUGGUGCUAAACCAUUAGAAACCACCCCCAUGAUCCAAUCACCUCCCACCAGGCCCCACCUCCAUCACUGCGAAUUAUAAUUCGACAUGAGAUUUGGGAGAUGACACAAAACCAAACCAUAUCAGUCUUUAAAGAGUUAAGUUAAAAUAAGCUCUUUAAAGUGGGCCCUAAUCCAGUAUGACUGGUGUUCUUAUAAGAAGAGGAGAUUUGGUCACAGACAUGGUUGCAUGCAGAAUAAAGACUUUUCGAGGACACACUGAGAAGGCAGCCAUCUGCAAAACAAGGAAAGAGUCCUCAGCAGAAACCAGUCCUGCAGACUCCUUGAUCUUGGACUUCCAGCCACUGCAAUUGAUGUCAAGCUUCAGCACCCUUGCAUCUCUGGAUAAAUGAAAUGUCACCCCAGCUGCCGUCCUUGUUCAGAUCUGUGCAAUAAAGAGCAAAGCAUAAAACCAAGUCAAGGCUUUGAGGGAGUGACCUACAAAAUGCAUAAUGUGAAACAAUGCAAAAGCGAAAGGUGCAAAAUCCCCAUCAAAGAGCUGGAGGCUGACAGAUGCGCCAGUGAUAAUUCCCAUCUUCCAACACAGGAGCACAGCUUCCAUUUUCCAUAACAGAACAACAGCCAGAGCAGCUGGAAGGCAGGGCCGCAUCCCAGACUUCCACCAACAAUGGGAUGAGACUUGACAUCUGGAAUCACAACCACAACAGACCUGAGAGACCCACCAGCUUGAUGACAAGCUUCUUCUUUCAAAGAAAGGUAUCAGUCUGGGGGACCUAGUGCUGCAAACCAUGACAAAUUAAGUGUGGCAUCCCUCACUUGCAUAAUGGAACUCAGUGAUAUUUUUUAAUUAACAAGAGUUAUUUUUAUGUAAGCUUCUCUCAUUCCUCCACUGUGCGUGCUCGGGGGCUGGUGGUGAGGAAAAAGAAAACAGCUGUGCGGGAAGCAUCAAGAAAAGGCAAGUCAUGAAGUCUUAGAGAUCAGUGACAUGUAAGAAAAAGAGUGAGGAGAAAAAUAUUCCUACUAAAGUUUUCCAUUUGUUUACCUUCCUUGUCACAUAGACUUCCAAGAGUUAGAAGUCUAGGAUUUGAUCUCCAAAUCUUCCUGGCAGAUUACUCAUCUUCAUUUCAUUCAUAUAGUCCAGGGGUUUGUACAAAGGAAGAUGCCAGUUCUUCCCCAAUCAUAACUAAGAUAUCAAGAGAUAUUCUUUUGAAAUGUAACAAAGGAGAUCUGAAGUUCAUCUGAAAAAAAUAAAUGGGUAAGUAUACUGACAAAUAUUUUGGCAAAAUAAAAGUAAUGAGGAGAUACUAGCAUUAGCCUCAUCAGGCAUUAAAAUAUAUUAUAAAGUUAUAAUAUGUAAAACAGCAUGGGACUGGCACUGAAACUGACAGUUCAACUGAAGAGAAUAGACAAGUUAGAAGUAAGUCUUGAUGUAUGUAAGAAUUUAAUAAAUUUGAAAGAUGGUAAGGAAAGAUAGGAUUGCUUAAAAAAUGGUUUUGGUGCAAUUGAUUAACUUUUCAUAAACUGGGUCAGCUCUUACUAGAUAUUGCUCUGAGACACUCACCCACCCCAAGUGUCCCCCAGCUCUCUGAGCUUCCCAGCUAUAUGACAUCAGAGCUCAGGAAACUCUGGUCCUCUCCAUCCUGGUCUCCCACCAUUUUCUCUGCAGCCCCCAAUCUUCCUGAGAUCACAGCUCCCAUGGGCACCAUUACCCUCUACUGCCAGCAUCACUCUUGGGCAAGGAAAACUCCACCCUCCCAUGAGCUUCUUACGACAAAGUGUGGUCACAGGCCUCCAUAACUCCCAUAGAACACCCGAGAUCAGGAAAUCUGCAAGUAUCUGGGAUGUCUUUAUUAUAGUCAGUGGUUGCCAGAGGUUAGUGGGGAGGGAGGGAUGAAUAAGCAGAGCAUAGAGGAAUUUUAGGGCAGUUGAAACUACCCUGUAUGAUACUAUAACGGUGACUAUAUGACAUUUUAUAUAGUCCAAACCCAUAGAUUAUAUUGUUAAAGAAGAAAUUAUUCUGCCACUUGUUAAAACAAUAAUGAAGAUUUUAUUCAGGACUAUUACGAUGGGUGUUGAAACUUACUACAACAGGCUAGAGAAUUCAGGCUCAAUUCCAAUAUAACAAAGACAGCUGAGGACUCAUAGCCCAUGAAUAGAAUGAGGGAAUCAGUGGGUGGAAAAUUCCUAAGAGGAGAAAUCAAGAGCAGAGAGAUUCUUGUUAAACCAACUUAGGGUUCUUGCUAAAGGCAAGCCAGGGUGACCAGAUAUCAAGAGUGGGGGAAGCAGAAAUUGAUCAUACAUCCAGAGUGAUCAGAUUUCAAAGAUGUAGCGUUUCUCACUAAACUGACCGAGCAAGAUUUUUUUUAGACAGAGUCUCCCUCUGUCACCCAGGUGGAAGUGCAGUGGUGUGAUCUCAGCUCACUGCAACCUCUGCCUUCCGGGUUCAAGCGACUGUCCUUCCUCAGCCUUCAGAUAGGUGGGAUUACAGGUAUGCACCACCAUGCCUGGCUAAUUUUUUCGUAUUUUAGUAGAGACGGGGUUUCAUCAUGUGGCCCAGGGUGGUUGCAAACUCCUGAGCUCAGGCAAUCCUCCUGCCUUGGCCUCCCAAAAUGCUGGGAUUACAGGCGUGAGCCACCGCGCCCAGCCACAAGAUACUUACUGAGUGAUGCAAGCCCAGCAAGGACAGGCCGGAGGCCCAGGUCGAGGCCUAGUCAAGAAGAGGACUCAGAGGAGCAUAACAACAGCUUGGUCAAGGAUCAGGAGUCUUUGUCAGUGUAACACCCAGAGUGAGCUGUAAUGUAAACUAUGGAUUUUGGGUGAGAAUGACAUGUCAAUGUAGGGUCAUCAAUUGUAACAAAUGUCCCACUCUGGUGCAGAAUGUCAAUAGUGAAGGAGACUCUGCAGGUGUGCGGUCAGGAUAACAGAACAGAACUCUGUAUUUUCUGCUCAAUUCUGCUAUGGAUCUAAAACUUCUCUAAAAAUUAAAGUCCAUUAAAAUAUUUUUAAAUUAAAUUGGUUUAAAAAAGGAAAUGAAAUUGGAUCAUUCCUGACUAUGGCACAGGUAGCAAGACCAGCCCUAUGCCCUUCCCUAGACAGGAAGUUUCAAGCCAGAUCACUAGCUCUGGUGCCAAUCGAUCCCUAGAGAUUUGAUAAUCUUUGCCAUGCCCAAUAGUAGGAGUGCUGGUUCUUUCAUGCAUGGCUCCCUGUUCUAUCAUCUCUCUCCACUUAUCCUCUGUUCUGUUGAAAACACUUCGGAUUGGCUACCCAAGAGCUACUCAUAACCCCUUCCCGCUUGCUUUAAU